UUAGUGGGCGGCGCUCCCGGGGGACGGAUCCGGCAGCUCCAGACAGCACCGCUGGAGUCGGCUCCCCCUCGUCGGUGAGAUACAGUGGGAUUUUUCGUUUCUGUCCUUCCCUUGGGGAUCCCUUGGUUUCUUUUUAUUUGGGCUCCCCCGGCACUCCCCUAACCUUCCCGGUUGAGGGUUUAUUCCCUCUUUGGUUGGGUUUUCUUUUUCCCCUGGGGUGGGGAAAGAAUCCCUUUUCUUUGGUGCCUCCCUUCCCGGGCGGGAGGCUGAAGGCUUAGGGAGAGAGCGGGAGGGACAGUCUUCUCCUUUUAGUUGUUAAUUUUCCCCACUGUACGCUCCGAGGCACAUUUUCCAACCGACAGUAUGGGUGCAAAACUGUCCGUGCCUCAGAAAGGCUUGUAUACCCAAGUUGUGGGCAUCCUGUUAGUGGGGGGGGUUAAAGUUAAGAAAUCUGAGAUAAAAAAGUUUGUCCGGUGGCUGUCGCAGGCUUUUCCCAACGUUUCGGCAGCAAAAUUAUAUCAAAUCCCCUUUUGGGAUCAAGUAGGGAGAGAGAUCUUGCGACAGCAGGAUCUUUCUCUCUCCAAAUUUACUCUAUUGGCUUUACAAAUUAGAGAUAUUAUUAAAAAUCACUAUGAAAGCCUGCCACAGCCAGCCGAAGACAAACCUGUCCCCAGUUCUGCGCUUAGCGCAAAAAAUCCUACUCCUCUUUCCUCUCCCUCUUCCCUAAAGUCGGGCAUUCUCAGACAGUCAUCCCGGCGUCGUCCGCAGGCAGAAUCUGGGCUCUCUGAGAAUGUCCUAGACUCCCCGCGGGGCAGUGCAGGCGCUGCCCGUGCUUCUACCCUUUCCCCUUCUUCCCCGCGAUGUACAGCCCUGUCCCGUAAGAGUUCUGUUCGUUUUAAGGUGCCCCAAAACCCUGAAAAUCCCUCAUCUCCCCUUUCCCCCCGAGCCACACAAAAUGGCUCCCCUUCCCUCUCCCUCCCCAAGGCACAAGAUGGCGGUGACCGCAUGUCUUCUUUUCCCGCCACUUGUGCCUCUUCUUCUUCCCACAAUCCCUUUCUUCCCGCCUCCCGAAGCUCCGCCCCUUCCCCAGACCUUCCCGCCCACGUCCCUCCUCCACCCUACCCUAACCACACCCCCUGUGAUGCGGGGUUCACCCCGCCCCUCAGCUCCACCCCCGGGGAGGGGACCUCCCACCAGGCCACUCCCUCUGCCCCUUGCCACGCCUCUUCCGCUCCGCCCCCUGGUUCCCACGACCUCACUUCCGGUUCCCACGCCAUCGGUUCCGGAAGGGGGGAGCGUGGGAACCCUGAUCCAUCCCAACCCCUACCUGCCUUC
rnacentral:lncRNA from 1 species